UACGAAGGGGGCUAGCGUUGCUCGGAAUCACUGGGCGUAAAGCGCACGUAGGCGGAUUGCUAAGUCAGGGGUGAAAUCCUGGAGCUCAACUCCAGAACUGCCUUUGAUACUGGCGAUCUCGAGUCCGGGAGAGGUGAGUGGAACUGCGAGUGUAGAGGUGAAAUUCGUAGAUAUUCGCAAGAACACCAGUGGCGAAGGCGGCUUACUGGUCCGGAUCUGACGCUGAGGCGCGAAAGCGUGGGGAGCAAACAGG
rnacentral:rRNA from 1 species